AAGAAAAUAAGAAUUCUUUUAAUGCAUUAAACUAUGGGAUUGUAAACUUCCACAUUCAAAAACUGGUGAGAAUUUCAACUAGGAUCAUUGACUUUCAAAAACUAUGGCAGGAUUUUCACUCAUGCCCCAGCCAUAUUCUAUAUUUAUUAAAACAUCAUGAGCUGCUAGAUACAUAUAUUUUGAUAUUAUACAUGGAAGGAGAAGUUCACAAAGUUCCACAAAUUCCCAUAUAUAAUAAAAUUUCCACAGCUUUAUGGAAAAUUUAUUACACAUGGAAGCAGAAGAAUUUUGAGUAUUUGACUUUAUCCAUCAACAAAUUCAUUCCAAUAUCCAUAAACAUUUAUAAUAGAAGCACAAAAUGGAACAAAACAAAGCAUGCCUUUAUCAUAUAACCUUUGCCUCGAAAAAUUUUCACUUUCAAUACUCAUUAUUAACUUUCCUGCCAAUUGGCUCUACAAGUAGAUAGAAAUGACACGAAUAUACAGAGAAGAAACACAAAAAUAAGAACAUAAACUAAUUUAAAUUAAUCAUAAUUCACUUUAGACAUAUAACAUCUGAAAGUUCACAUGUCAAAGAAAAACAAUUUGUUUGACAUAAACAAAACCAAAUUGAAGAAAAAUAACAAAAACUUUCAAGCUUGUAACGUCACUAUUUUUCACUUGAGCAGCAGUGCUUGCUUGCAUGUACUAAACCAACCAAAUUUUUUCCUUUUUCCUGAUUUUAGUCGGUACCGAUUAUUGAGUCUGGUUUGUGGUUCUUCUGCUACUUAGCUGGCUAAUUUACGUCAAUCUU
rnacentral:misc_RNA from 1 species